ensembl:snRNA U6 U6 spliceosomal RNA
GUGCUCGCUUUGGCAGCACAUAUACUAAAAUUGGAACGAUACAAAGAAGAUUAGCAUGGCCCUUGCGCAAGGAUGACACGCAAAUUUGUGAAGCGUUCCAUAUUUUU